CCUUAUACGAUGAUUAUCGUGAUGAGUGUCCACACAGAUUGAUACGGUUUAUAACGUAAGAGAGCAGAGUGUUCCCAAACACUCACAACUAGUGUCCCGUUCGUCUAGAGGCCUAGGACACCGCCCUUUCACGGCGGUAACAGGGGUUCGACUCCCCUACGGGAUACCAUUGGGUCGUUAGCUCAGUUGGUAGAGCAGUUGACUUUUAAUCAAUUGGUCGCAGGUUCGAAUCCUGCACGACCCACCAUUUCCUGCCACAGGAAAUCAAAAUAUAUGUGGGCGAUUAGCUCAGUUGGGAGAGCACCUGCCUUACAAGCAGGGGGUCACUGGUUCGAGCCCGGUAUCGCCCACCAUUCUCUAAGUAUUUUUGGAUAAUCUUUCCAAACCACUUCAUUAAAACGUAUGUGGUUGGAAUUUUUGACGCCUAUGCAGCGUAGCUGAAAGUCUUUAGAAAAUGUACUUCUUAGGAAGUGACAUAGCUCUUUAACAAUUUGGAAAGCUGACGAAUAACAACAAUCCCCUCAUCUACGGAUAAGCGUUGUUAUUCAAAUUAAAAGUUCUCAAAUCCUAAAACUGUGUUUUAGGUACCAACACACAUUCAAGUGUUCUUGGAAACAUCCUUGUGAUGUUUAUAUUUGAGUCCGGCAAAAUCGAAUGUCUCUCGCUCAUUCAAUAAUGAGAGACACAAACCUUGGUUGUUUGAACAUACAAGACCUCUUGGGGUUGUAU
rnacentral:tRNA from 1 species